rnacentral:lncRNA from 1 species
GCUCACGAAGGGUAUGGGUAUAAGUGUCCCUCCGAUUUGAGAUCACCAUGGUGACUUGCAAGCAACUCACUAUACUUUAGUGCCAAACUAACUGAGUUUUUAAUUUAGUGAUGGAAGAUUUCUGAGUACAGUCAAGUACUUGUCAAGUCGGUGCAUAAGUCAAGAUGAGAUUGAUCCCUCCAAAUUAGUAGGAGAUAUAAAUCAGUGUAUUUCAAUUUAGCAAAACUUGAGCCCGA